rnacentral:rRNA from 1 species
UGAAUACGAGACGCUAAGGCGUCGAAGUAGUGUAUGUCAUACUUCCAAGAAAAGCUUGCACUGUCAUAGAUAAAAAACGCCUGUACCAUAACCGACACAGGUGGGUAGGUAGAGUAUACUAAGGGGCGCGAGAUAACUCUCUCUAAGGAACUCGGCAAAAUAACUCCGUAACUUCGGGAGAAGGAGUGCCUUAUUAUUAAGGCUGCAAUAACAAGAUCCAAGCAACUGUUUAUCAAAAACACAGGUCUCCGCUAAGUCGUAAGACGAUGUAUGGGGGCUGACGCCUGCCCAGUGCCAGAAGGUUAAAGAAGUUGGUUAGCAUUUGCGAAGCUGAUAACUGAAGCCCUGGUGAACGGCGGCCGUAACAAUAACGGUCCUAAGGUAGCGAAAUUCCUUGUCGGGUAAGUUCCGACCCGCACGAAAGGCGUAAUGAUUUGGAUACUGUCUCGGAGAGGGGCUCGGUGAAAUAGACUUGUCUGUGAAGAUGCGGACUACCUGCACCAGGACGGAAAGACCCUAUGAAGCUUUACUGUAACUUGAAAUUGAAAUUGGACUUUAUUCGCGCAGCAUAGGUGGGAGGCGUUGAUUAUAAUCUUGUGGGAUUAUUGGAGCCAUCAGUGAGAUACCACUCUUGUAAUGUUAGAUUUCUAACUUUGAAUCAUUAUCUGGUCAAAGAACAGUUUCAGGCGGGCAGUUUGACUGGGGCGGUCGCCUCCUAAACGGUAACGGAGGCGUACAAAGGUUUCCUCUGAACGGUUAGAAAUCGUAUCUAGAGUGUAAAGGCAUAAGGAAGCUUGACUGUGAGACCUACAAGUCGAGCAGGGACGAAAGUCGGUCUUAGUGAUCUGACGGUACUGAGUGGAAAGGCCGUCACUCAACGGAUAAAAGUUACUCUAAGGAUAGCAGGCUGAUCUCCCCCAAGAGUUCACAUCGACGGGGAGGUUUGGCACCUCGAUGUCGGCUCAUCGCAUCCUGGGGCGGUAGUACGUCCCAAGGGUUGGGCUGUUCGCCCAUGAAAGCGGUACGCGAGCUGGGUUCAGAACGUCGUGAGACAGUUCGGUCCAUAUCCGGUGUAGGCGUUAGAAUAUUGAGAGGAGCCUUCUUUAGUACGAGAGGACCGAGAAGGACAUACCUCUGGUGUACCAGUUAUCGUGCCAACGGUAAACGCUGGGUAGCUAUGUAUGGAGUGGAUAACCGCUGAAAGCAUCUAAGUGGGAAGCCCACCUCAAGAUAAGUAUUCUCA